rnacentral:rRNA from 1 species
AUUGAACGCUGGCGGCAGGCCUAACACAUGCAAGUCGAGCGAGCGGCGGACGGGUGAGUACUGUAUGGGGACUGCACGAUAGAGGGGGAUAACUACUGGAAACGGUGGCUAAUACCGCAUACUAUCGUAUCACCCAUAUGGGAUUAGCGAGUAGGUGGGGUAACGUCUCACCUAGGCCACGAGAUCUAGCUGGUCUGAGAGGAUGAUCAGCCACACUGGGACUGAGACACGGACCAGACUCCUACGGAGGCAGCAGUGGGGAAUAUUGCACAAUGGGCGCAAGCCUGAUGCAGCCAUGCCGCGUGUAUGAAGAAGGCCUUAGGGUUGUAAAGGACUUUCAGCGGGGAGGCGUUACCCGCAGAGGAAGCACCGGCUAACUCCGUGCCAGCAGCCGCGGUAAUUC